CAUUAAUAGUGAUAAAACUCAAUUGAAUCAAACAACUCGUCACACUUGUUGCUUACAAGAGGAAUAUUUUUUUUUAUGUUCGCGCAUUACAUAUUUUAAAUCAUGCCAGUAAGGCAGACCAUCAUGAGGCUGAAAUCAAAUGUUUGAUACAUUUAUAGGAAGCAAGAAUUACCUGGUAGACCACAGAAGUGGAUAACCAAAAAAUACUUUCAAUUUUGAAGAAAAAAACAAUUUUCAAUGGUCAAAUAGAUAAAGGACACUCUCCAGGAUGUAGGCAUAGAUAUGUGAAAGACUAUCGAAAAGAGAAGACUACACCGGCUUACAUCAGAGGGUUCACCACAAGAAGCAAACCACUGGAACUGUUGCACCAUGGGAAGAACUUUCCUUCUAUGAAUCCCACUGUUUGAAGCUCUAAUCUGUUGGCGAUAAAGAACUUUCCGGAGUCCCCACCUGCCUCAUGCUCCGCACCCCAUGCCGGGACCCACCACCCCCCUGCCGGCCGCCAGGAAGUGCCGAUUAGCAGCCCACAAAGAGCCGACACUG